rnacentral:rRNA from 1 species
UACGGGGGGGGGCAAGCGUUGUUCGGAAUUACUGGGCGUAAAGGGCUCGUAGGCGGCCAACUAAGUCAGACGUGAAAUCCCUCGGCUUAACCGGGGAACUGCGUCUGAUACUGGAUGGCUUGAAUCCGGGAGAGGGAUGCGGAAUUCCAGGUGUAGCGGUGAAAUGCGUAGAUAUCUGGAGGAACACCGGUGGCGAAGGCGGCAUC